CAGCAGCCACGGGAAUACGUAGGUGGCAAGCGUUGUCCGGAAUUAUUGGGCGUAAAGCGCGCGCAGGUGGUUUAAUAAGUCUGAUGUGAAAGCCCACGGCUCAACCGUGGAGGGUCAUUGGAAACUGUUAAACUUGAGUGCAGGAGAGAAAAGUGGAAUUCCUAGUGUAGCGGUGAAAUGCGUAGAUAUUAGGAAGAACACCAGUGGCGAAGGCGGCUUUUUGGACGAAAACUGACGCUGAGGCGCGAAAGCCAGGGGAGCGAACGGGAUUAGAUACCCGGGUAGUCCCUGUCUCUUAUAC
rnacentral:rRNA from 1 species